CUUUUCUGUAAAUAAAUAAUAAAAAAAAAUUGUUUAAAAUUCGCGCAGUUGAAGCUUGUCACUAACCUUGGUCGCAAAAAUGCCUCGGGCUUGCUUCAAUGUGGGCUUUUAACCAAUUUUUUUUUUUUAUUUCUUUUUUUGCCCUUCUCCGGUGGAACAAAAAGGGAACACCUUGCAAUAUUGUACUAUCGAGAUUCGAUCCAAUCCAAUGCCGCUGAAGUCUCUGUAGAAAGUCGAGAUCGAACUUGGAAGAAAGAGCGAGCAAUAGCAAUGGCGUUUAUGAGGGGCGAGCCACUGGUGACGAAGCUGGCGGUUUUGGCCAAGUACGUGGUUCUUCCGGGAGCCAUGGUCGCUGCUCUCAUCUACUCUCCUCCAGAUUACGCGUCCUCCUCUAAGUCCGACAAGUCCCAGAAAUAAAUCAGUCCCCCUUUUCUAUUUCACCUAUCGGGUCAUCUUCACUUGGCAUGCAUGCUUGUAAAGGUCCUCUCUUAGACGAAUGGGGUAUGUAAUAAUUUCAUGAUAGAAUAAUUGUUGAGUUUUAGAAUGUAGUUAUUUGGAGUGAUGAGCGCAUCUAGCUUUUGUUUGAAGAACUUUAAGAAGUAUCUUUGUUCUUUCCUUUGCUUUGCCCACAACUAAGCAUUAUCCAAUCAGUACAAGUAUAGCCAGGUUCCAUUUUAACAUUGUGGAAUAUAUGUAUAAUUAUAUAAGAUGGCCUGAUUUUAACUUUGCAGAAUGUAUGAGAACUUAAAUAUAAUAAUAGUUUUGAUUGGUUAACAUGGUA